rnacentral:rRNA from 1 species
AGAGUUUGAUCCUGGCUCAGAACGAACGCUGGCGGCGUGGAUAAGACAUGCAAGUCGAACGAGAGAAUUGCUAGCUUGCUAAUAAUUCUCUAGUGGCGCACGGGUGAGUAACACGUGAGUAACCUGCCCCCGAGAGCGGGAUAGCCCUGGGAAACUGGGAUUAAUACCGCAUAGUAUCGAAAGAUUAAAGCAGCAAUGCGCUUGGGGAUGGGCUCGCGGCCUAUUAGUUAGUUGGUGAGGUAACGGCUCACCAAGGCGAUGACGGGUAGCCGGUCUGAGAGGAUGUCCGGCCACACUGGAACUGAGACACGGUCCAGACACCUACGGGUGGCAGCAGUCGAGAAUCAUUCACAAUGGGGGAAACCCUGACGGUGCGACGCCGCGUGGGGGAAUGAAGGUCUUCGGAUUGUAAACCCCUGUCAUGUGGGAGCAAAUUAAAAAGAUAGUACCACAAGAGGAAGAGACGGCUAACUCUGUGCCAGCAGCCGCGGUAAUACAGAGGUCUCAAGCGUUGUUCGGAAUCACUGGGCGUAAAGCGUGCGUAGGCUGUUUCGUAAGUCGUGUGUGAAAGGCGCGGGCUCAACCCGCGGACGGCACAUGAUACUGCGAGACUAGAGUAAUGGAGGGGGAACCGGAAUUCUCGGUGUAGCAGUGAAAUGCGUAGAUAUCGAGAGGAACACUCGUGGCGAAGGCGGGUUCCUGGACAUUAACUGACGCUGAGGCACGAAGGCCAGGGGAGCGAAAGGGAUUAGAUACCCCUGUAGUCCUGGCAGUAAACGGUGCACGCUUGGUGUGCGGGGAAUCGACCCCCUGCGUGCCGGAGCUAACGCGUUAAGCGUGCCGCCUGGGGAGUACGGUCGCAAGAUUAAAACUCAAAGAAAUUGACGGGGACCCGCACAAGCGGUGGAGUAUGUGGCUUAAUUCGAUGCAACGCGAAGAACCUUACCUGGGCUUGACAUGUAAUGAACAACAUGUGAAAGCAUGCGACUCUUCGGAGGCGUUACACAGGUGCUGCAUGGCCGUCGUCAGCUCGUGUCGUGGGAUGUUUGGUUAAGUCCAGCAACGAGCGCAACCCCUGUUGCCAGUUACCAGCACGUGAAGGUGGGGACUCUGGCGAGACUGCCCAGAUCAACUUGGAGGAAGGUGGGGACGACGUCAGGUCAGUAUGGCCCUUAUGCCCAGGGCUGCACACGUACUACAAUGCCCAGUACAGAGGGGGCCGAAGCCGCGAGGCGGAGGAAAUCCUAAAAACUGGGCCCAGUUCGGACUGUAGGCUGCAACCCGCCUACACGAAGCCGGAAUCGCUAGUAAUGGCGCAUCAGCUACGGCGCCGUGAAUACGUUCCCGGGUCUUGCACACACCGCCCGUCA